CGGGUGAGUAACACGUAUCCAACCUGCCGUCUACUCUUGGACAGCCUUCUGAAAGGAAGAUUAAUACAAGAUGGCAUCAUGAGUUCACAUGUUCACAUGAUUAAAGGUAUUCCGGUAGACGAUGGGGAUGCGCUCCAUUAGAUAGUAGGCGGGGUAACGGCCCACCUAGUCUUCGAUGGAUAGGGGUUCUGAGAGGAAGGUCCCCCACAUUGGAACUGAGACACGGUCCAA
rnacentral:rRNA from 1 species